AGUCUUCGGUUCUAUAACAUCUUCAGCAUAAACCCUUUGAUUAACCAAUAUAUGUUGAUGGAUGAGUGUUUUAACGUCUUCAGCAGCAUACAUUGAAUACAAAUAUGCCAAUUCCGUAUUGGUAUACACGUUUAAAAAGGCAGACGAGUCAGGAACUAACAUAGUAACAGAUGAAUAUUCACCAACCCAAGCGACGGAUAAACGAUGAAAAAUUGAAAAAUCUUUCUCAGAACUUAAUAUUUCGAGGGCUGGAGGCGGAAGAUCUAUAAUGUUAUCGAUGACUUGAACGACGCCGCUGUCAGCACGCCAAUUCGAUUGAACUAUUUGUGCAUUGUUGACUUUAUCAUAUGCCCUACCAGUUUCUGCUUUGUAAUGAAUUUUUAAAGCGAUUUGCUGACCGUCUGAGCUUUUCAAUUGAGUACGCAACACCGAUCUAUCAAGUUCUGUUGUAUUUACGAUAUAAUAUAACAAAUUGGGCUCAAUCGAAUCAUCAGGAAAAGCCUCAUUUAAAGGCGCGAAAAGUGUAAGUCCUUUGUUUCGAUUUAAAUAAGGAACCAGACGAUUGCGUUGCAACCGUCUGAUCAAUUUUGAAAACUGAGAUUUUGAAGACAGUAAAUCUAUAAUCGAAGUAGAUUUAUCUUCAUACUCAUUUUUACCAUUAGCAAAUGAUAUAAAUAGAAGAAUAAAUAAGAGAUAUAACCGAAAUUGAAGGUUCAUUGCGAUUAUGGCUUUGUUGGAGAUGAAAGGUGAGGCAGCGAUUUAGUUGCAAUUCACCAAAAUACUUUAUAAUUGAAAGAAAACUAAAUUUCUUUUUCAAAGAAUUGAUCAUUUAAUAGAGACUUGAAACUAUUAAUCAAUCUGGCACAUUUAUUGAAAAGUAGUGUCGUCCGCGAACAGUUGUGCUACAAACGAGUGUGCUUCUCAAAUUGUUUCAGUUCAAUAGAAAACUAUUAAUACGCAACAAACAAACAAAGAAGAUGAUUUUUAAAUACUAGGACACGGUUCUUACGACACAUUAACUUUAAAUUACCAAUUACCAGUACUGGCGAGGCGAAUAAUAAAUAUUAAUUUUACUUAGUUAACAGUGAUAUUUUCUG